rnacentral:lncRNA from 1 species
GAUUUUUAAGGGAUGGAGAGAGGGAAGAGUGGGCAUAGAGACACCUCCCUUGCCCCUUUCCUGGGCCCAGAAAUUGGAGGGAGGGAGGGAAAGGAUUUUUACAUUUUUUUAAACUGCUAUUUUCUGAAUGGAACAAGCUGGGCCAAGGGGCCCCAGGCCCUGCUCCCUGUCCUUCACAGCCCUUUUGCGCCGUUUGUUCAAAAUACACUUAUUGAGCACCUUGUGUGCCCAGCAAUAUGCUAGGCCACCAGCUAAGUGGGGGGUCUCCACCCCUAAUUGGUGCCUCCUCCACCCACCCCAGACUUCACCAGUGCCUUUGGGGUAUCUGCAGAUGGAAACUUCUUGUGAGGUUUGGGGGGUCUCCAGGAAGCUGGGCCAAGCUGUCCCUGUCCCCUGUGCCAACCCACCCACUGCAGCCCCUCCCUUGCCCCCUGCUGGCUGGGGGAAGCUCCCAGAAGGUCUGCCUUCCAACUCUAACUUGUUUCUGAAACUCUUCCCCACACUUGCUGAGUCAGGAGGUCAAGGCCUUGGGCUCUCCCCGGGGGUCGAACGGCUAAGUGGACCCACAAACCAGUGCCAAGGGAGUUGGUGGGGGGAGGGAGGAUAUGGUUGACCUGAAAAGGGUGACCUUCACAUUUAGUGCCUUCUUGGUGACCCAGAGCCUCACAGUGUAACAAGAACUAAAGAGAAAGCCAGACCCCCCUAAAAAACAAACAAACAAACAAACAAAAACACAAGUG